rnacentral:rRNA from 1 species
CGGACGGGUGAGUAAUGUCUGGGAAACUGCCUGAUGGAGGGGGAUAACUACUGGAAACGGUAGCUAAUACCGCAUAACGUCGCAAGACCAAAGAGGGGACCUUAGGGCCUCUUGCCAUCGGAUGUGCCCAGAUGGGAUUAGCUAGUAGGUGGGGUAAAGGCUCACCUAGGCGACGAUCCCUAGCUGGUCUGAGAGGAUGACCAGCCACACUGGAACUGAGACACGGUCCAG